GCUAGUGUAGUGCAGUGGUUUGAGUGUUGGACUAUGAUUCUGAAAGCCAGGGUUAAAUUCCCAGCUCAGCU